rnacentral:rRNA from 1 species
UACGUAGGGUGCAAGCGUUAAUCGGAAUUACUGGGCGUAAAGCGUGCGCAGGCGGUUUUGUAAGUCUGUCGUGAAAGCCCCGGGCUCAACCCUGGAAAGCCGGUGGAUACUGCCGGGCUAGAGUCCGGAAGAGGCGAGUGGAAUUCCUGGUGUAGCGGUGGAAUGCGCAGAUAUCAGGAGGAACACCGAUGGCGAAGGCAGCUCGCUGGGACGGUACUGACGCUGAGGCGCGAAAGCGUGGGGAGCAAACAGG